GACGAACGCUGGCGGCGUGCCUAAUACAUGCAAGUUGAGCGCUGAAGGUUGGUACUUGUACCAACUGGAUGAGCAGCGAACGGGUGAGUAACGCGUGGGGAAUCUGCCUUUGAGCGGGGGACAACAUUUGGAAACGAAUGCUAAUACCGCAUAAAAACUUUAAACACAAGUUUUAAGUUUGAAAGAUGCAAUUGCAUCACUCAAAGAUGAUCCCGCGUUGUAUUAGCUAGUUGGUGAGGUAAAGGCUCACCAAGGCGAUGAUACAUAGCCGACCUGAGAGGGUGAUCGGCCACAUUGGGACUGAGACACGGCCCAAACUCCUACGGGAGGCAGCAGUAGGGAAUCUUCGGCAAUGGACGAAAGUCUGACCGAGCAACGCCGCGUGAGUGAAGAAGGUUGUCGGAUCGUAAAACUCUGUUGGUAGAGAAGAACAUUGGUGAGAGUGGAAAGCUCAUCAAGUGACGGUAACUACCCAGAAAGGGACGGCUAACUACGUG
rnacentral:rRNA from 1 species